rnacentral:rRNA from 1 species
CGGGGGAUAACUAUUGGAAACGAUAGCUAAUACCGCAUAACAAUGGAUGACACAUGUCAUUUAUUUGAAAGGGGCAAUUGCUCCACUACAAGAUGGACCUGCGUUGUAUUAGCUAGUAGGUGAGGUAAUGGCUCACCUAGGCGACGAUACAUAGCCGACCUGAGAGGGUGAUCGGCCACACUGGGACUGAGACACGGCCCAGACUCCUACGGGAGGCAGCAGUAGGGAAUCUUCGGCAAUGGGGGCAACCCUGACCGAGCAACGCCGCGUGAGUGAAGAAGGUUUUCGGAUCGUAAAGCUCUGUUGUAAGUCAAGAACGGGUGUGAGAGUGGAAAGUUCACACUGUGACGGUAGCUUACCAGAAAGGGACGGCUAACUACGUGCCAGCAGCCGCGGUAAUACGUAGGUCCCGAGCGUUGUCCGGAUUUAUUGGGCGUAAAGCGAGCGCAGGCGGUUUGAUAAGUCUGAAGUUAAAGGCUGUGGCUCAACCAUAGUUCGCUUUGGAAACUGUCAAACUUGAGUGCAGAAGGGGAGAGUGGAAUUCCAUGUGUAGCGGUGAAAUGCGUAGAUAUAUGGAGGAACACCGGUGGCGAAAGCGGCUCUCUGGUCUGUAACUGACGCUGAGGCUCGAAAGCGUGGGGAGCGAACAGGAUUAGAUACCCUGGUAGUCCACGCCGUAAACGAUGAGUGCUAGGUGUUGGAUCCUUUCCGGGAUUCAGUGCCGCAGCUAACGCAUUAAGCACUCCGCCUGGGGAGUACGACCGCAAGG